AGAUUAAGUUAUUAAGGGCGCACGGUGGAUGCCUUGGCACUAGAAGCCGAAGAAGGACGUUACUAACGACGAUAUGCUUUGGGUAGCUGUAAGUAAGCGUUGAUCCAGAGAUUUCCGAAUGGGGGAACCCAACAUGAGUGAUGUCAUGUUAUCGACACGUGAAUUCAUAGCAUGUCAGAAGGCAGACCCGGAGAACUGAAACAUCUUAGUACCCGGAGGAAGAGAAAGAAAAAUCGAUUCCCUGAGUAGCGGCGAGCGAAACGGGAAGAGCCCAAACCAACAAGCUUGCUUGUUGGGGUUGUAGGACACUCUAUACGGAGUUACAAAAGAACAUGUUAGACGAAUCAUCUGGAAAGAUGAAUCAAAGAAGGUAAAAAUCCUGUAGUCGAAAACAUAUUCUCUCUUGAGUGGAUCCUGAGUACGACGGAGCACGUGAAAUUCCGUCGGAAUCUAGGAGGACCAUCUCCUAAGGCUAAAUACUCUCUAGUGACCGAUAGUGAACCAGUACCGUGAGGAAAGGUGAAAAGUACCCCGGAAGGGGAGUGAAAGAGAACUUGAAACCGUGUGCUUACAAGUAGUCAGAGCCCGUUAAUGGGUGAUGGCGUGCCUUUGUAGAAUGAACCGGCGAGUUACGAUCUGAUGCAAGGUUAAGCAGCGAAUGUGGAGCCGUAGCGAAAGCGAGUCUGAAUAGGGCGUUGAGUAUUUGGUCGUAGACCCGAAACCAGGUGAUCUACCCUUGGUCAGGUUGAAGUUCAGGUAACACUGAAUGGAGGACCGAACCGACUUACGUUGAAAAGUGAGCGGAUGAACUGAGGGUAGCGGAGAAAUUCCAAUCGAACUUGGAGAUAGCUGGUUCUCUCCGAAAUAGCUUUAGGGCUAGCCUCAAGUGAUGAUUAUUGGAGGUAGAGCACUGUUUGGACGAGGGCCCUCUCGGGUUACCGAAUUCAGACAAACUCCGAAUGCCAAUCAAUUUAACUUGGGAGUCAGAACAUGGGUGAUAAGGUCCGUGUUCGAAAGGGAAACAGCCCAGACCACCAGCUAAGGUCCCAAAAUAUAUGUUAAGUGGAAAAGGAUGUGGCGUUGCCCAGACAACUAGGAUGUUGGCUUAGAAGCAGCCAUCAUUUAAAGAGUGCGUAAUAGCUCACUAGUCGAGUGACACUGCGCCGAAAAUGUACCGGGGCUAAACAUAUUACCGAAGCUGUGGAUUGUCCGUAGGACAAUGGCAGGAGAGCGUUCUAAGGGCGUUGAAGCAUGAUCGCAAGGACAUGUGGAGCGCUUAGAAGUGAGAAUGCCGGUGUGAGUAGCGAAAGACGGGUGAGAAUCCCGUCCACCGAUUGACUAAGGUUUCCAGAGGAAGGCUCGUCCGCUCUGGGUUAGUCGGGUCCUAAGCUGAGGCCGACAGGCGUAGGCGAUGGAUAACAGGUUGAUAUUCCUGUACCACCUAGUAUCGUUUUAAUCGAUGGGGGACGCAGUAGGAUAGGCGAAGCGUGCUGUUGGAGUGCACGUCCAAGCAGUAAGGCUGAGUGUUAGGCAAAUCCGGCACUCGUAAGGCUGAGCUGUGAUGGGGAGAGGAAAUUGUUUCCUCGAGUCGUUGAUUUCACACUGCCGAGAAAAGCCUCUAGAUAGAUAACAGGUGCCCGUACCGCAAACCGACACAGGUAGUCAAGAUGAGAAUUCUAAGGUGAGCGAGCGAACUCUCGUUAAGGAACUCGGCAAAAUGACCCCGUAACUUCGGGAGAAGGGGUGCUCUUUAGGGUUCACGCCCAGAAGAGCCGCAGUGAAUAGGCCCAAGCGACUGUUUAUCAAAACACAGGUCUCUGCUAAACCGUAAGGUGAUGUAUAGGGGCUGACGCCUGCCCGGUGCUGGAAGGUUAAGAGGAGUGGUUAGCUUCUGCGAAGCUACGAAUCGAAGCCCCAGUAAACGGCGGCCGUAACUAUAACGGUCCUAAGGUAGCGAAAUUCCUUGUCGGGUAAGUUCCGACCCGCACGAAAGGCGUAACGAUUUGGGCACUGUCUCAACGAGAGACUCGGUGAAAUCAUAGUACCUGUGAAGAUGCAGGUUACCCGCGACAGGACGGAAAGACCCCGUGGAGCUUUACUGUAGCCUGAUAUUGAAAUUCGGCACAGCUUGUACAGGAUAGGUAGGAGCCAUUGAAACGUGAGCGCUAGCUUACGUGGAGGCGUUGGUGGGAUACUACCCUAGCUGUGUUGGCUUUCUAACCCGCACCACUUAUCGUGGUGGGAGACAGUGUCAGGCGGGCAGUUUGACUGGGGCGGUCGCCUCCUAAAAGGUAACGGAGGCGCUCAAAGGUUCCCUCAGAAUGGUUGGAAAUCAUUCACAGAGUGUAAAGGCAUAAGGGAGCUUGACUGCGAGACCUACAAGUCGAGCAGGGUCGAAAGACGGACUUAGUGAUCCGGUGGUUCCGCAUGGAAGGGCCAUCGCUCAACGGAUAAAAGCUACCCCGGGGAUAACAGGCUUAUCUCCCCCAAGAGUUCACAUCGACGGGGAGGUUUGGCACCUCGAUGUCGGCUCAUCGCAUCCUGGGGCUGUAGUCGGUCCCAAGGGUUGGGCUGUUCGCCCAUUAAAGCGGUACGCGAGCUGGGUUCAGAACGUCGUGAGACAGUUCGGUCCCUAUCCGUCGUGGGCGUAGGAAAUUUGAGAGGAGCUGUCCUUAGUACGAGAGGACCGGGAUGGACAUACCUCUGGUGUACCAGUUGUCGUGCCAACGGCAUAGCUGGGUAGCUAUGUAUGGACGGGAUAAGUGCUGAAAGCAUCUAAGCAUGAAGCCCCCCUCAAGAUGAGAUUUCCCAACUUCGGUUAUAAGAUUCCUCGAAGAUGACGAGGUUAAUAGGUUCGAGGUGGAAGCGUGGCGACACGUGGAGCUGACGAAUACUAAUCGAUCGAAGACUUAAUCAAUUU
rnacentral:rRNA from 1 species